rnacentral:rRNA from 1 species
UACGUGGGGGGCAAGCGUUGUCCGGAUUUAUUGGGCGUAAAGAGCGUGUAGGCGGCCUGGUAGGUCAGCUGUGAAAACUCGAGGCUCAACCUCGAGACGCCGGUUGGAACCAUCAGGCUAGAGUCCGGAAGAGGAGAGUGGAAUUCCCGGUGUAGCGGUGAAAUGCGCAGAUAUCGGGAAGAACACCCGUGGCUAAGGCGGCUCUCUAGUACGGUACUGACGCUGAGACGCGAAAGCGUGGGGAGCGAACAGG